rnacentral:rRNA from 1 species
UACAUGGGGUGCAAACGUUGCUCGGAAUCACUGGGCGUAAAGGGUGCGUAGGCGGGUCUUUAAGUCAGGGGUGAAAUCCUGGAGCUCAACUCCAGAACUGCCUUUGAUACUGAAGAUCUUGAGUUCGGGAGAGGUGAGUGGAACUGCGAGUGUAGAGGUGAAAUUCGUAGAUAUUCGGAGGAACACCAGUGGCGAAGGCGGCUCACUGGUCCGGUACUGACGCUGAGGUGCGAAAGCGUGGGGAGCAAACAGG